AGAGACACCCAAGUAGCACGGGGCCCGAGAAAUCCCGUGUGAAUCUGGCGGGACCACCCGCUAAGCCUAAAUAUUCCCUGGUGACCGAUAGCGGAUAGUACCGUGAGGGAAUGGUGAAAAGUACCGCGGGAGCGGAGUGAAAUAGUACCUGAAACCGUGUGCCUACAAGCCGUGGGAGCGUCGCGCAAGGACUUGUCCUUGCGUCGUGACUGCGUGCCUUUUGAAGAAUGAGCCUGCGAGUUUGCGGUGUGUUGCGAGGUUAACCCGUGUGGGGAAGCCGUAGCGAAAGCGAGUCCGAACAGGGCGGUUUAGUAGCGCGCUCAAGACCCGAAGCGGAGUGAUCUAGCCAUGGGCAGGUUGAAGCGGAGGUAAGACUUCGUGGAGGACCGAACCCACCAGGGUUGAAAACCUGGGGGAUGACCUGUGGUUAGGGGUGAAAGGCCAAUCAAACUCCGUGAUAGCUGGUUCUCCCCGAAAUGCAUUUAGGUGCAGCGUCGUGUGUUUCUUGCCGGAGGUAGAGCACUGGAUAGGCGAUGGGCCCUACCGGGUUACUGACCUUAGCCAAACUCCGAAUGCCGGUAAGUGAGAGCGCGGCAGUGAGACUGUGGGGGAUAAGCUCCAUGGUCGAGAGGGAAACAGCCCAGAGCAUCGACUAAGGCCCCUAAGCGUACGCUAAGUGGGAAAGGAUGUGGAGUCGCAGAGACAACCAGGAGGUUGGCUUAGAAGCAGCCACCCUUGAAAGAGUGCGUAAUAGCUCACUGGUCAAGUGAUUCCGCGCCGACAAUGUAGCGGGGCUCAAGCGUACCGCCGAAGUCGUGUCAUUGCAGUACAUACCCCCAACGGGGACUGUGAUGGGUAGGGGAGCGUCGUGUGCCGGGUGAAGCAGCCGCGGAAGCGAGUUGUGGACGGUUCACGAGUGAGAAUGCAGGCAUGAGUAGCGAUACACACGUGAGAAACGUGUGCGCCGAUUGACUAAGGGUUCCUGGGUCAAGCUGAUCUGCCCAGGGUAAGUCGGGACCUAAGGCGAGGCCGACAGGCGUAGUCGAUGGACAACCGGUUGAUAUUCCGGUACCCGCUUUGAAACGCCCAGUAUCGAAUCCAUUAAUGCUAAGGCCGUGAAGCCGCCCUGGAGCCUUCGGGCAAAGGGGAGUGGUGGAGCCGCCGGCCCAAGGUGGUAGUAGGUAAGCGAUGGGGUGACGCAGGAAGGUAGUCCAGCCCGGGCGGUGGUUGUCCCGGGGUAAGGGUGUAGGCCGUGUGAUAGGCAAAUCCGUCACACAUAAGGCUGAGACCUGAUGCCGAGCCGAUUGUGGUGAAGUGGAUGAUCCUAUGCUGUCGAGAAAAGCCUCUAGCGAGUUUCAUGGCGGCCCGUACCCUAAACCGACUCAGGUGGUCAGGUAGAGAAUACCGAGGCGUUCGGGUGAACUAUGGUUAAGGAACUCGGCAAAAUGCCCCCGUAACUUCGGGAGAAGGGGGGCCAUCACCGGUGAUGAGUUUUACACUCUGAGCUGGGGGUGGCCGCAGAGACCAGCGAGAAGCGACUGUUUACUAAAAACACAGGUCCGUGCGAAGCCGUAAGGCGAUGUAUACGGACUGACGCCUGCCCGGUGCUGGAACGUUAAGGGGACCGGUUAGCUCCAUUUCGGUGGGGCGAAGCUGAGAACUUAAGCGCCAGUAAACGGCGGUGGUAACUAUAACCAUCCUAAGGUAGCGAAAUUCCUUGUCGGGUAAGUUCCGACCUGCACGAAUGGCGUAACGACUUCUCGACUGUCUCAACCAUAGGCCCGGUGAAAUUGCACUACGAGUAAAGAUGCUCGUUUCGCGCAGCAGGACGGAAAGACCCCGGGACCUUUACUACAGUUUGAUAUUGGUGUUCGGUUCGGCUUGUGUAGGAUAGGUGGGAGACUGUGAAGCUUGGACGCCAGUUCAGGUGGAGUCGUCGUUGAAAUACCACUCUGGUCGUGCUGGAUGUCUAACCUGGGUCCGUGAUCCGGAUCAGGGACAGUGUCUGAUGGGUAGUUUAACUGGGGCGGUUGCCUCCUAAAGAGUAACGGAGGCGCCCAAAGGUUCCCUCAGCCUGGUUGGCAAUCAGGUGUUGAGUGUAAGUGCACAAGGGAGCUUGACUGUGAGACCGACGGGUCGAGCAGGGACGAAAGUCGGGACUAGUGAUCCGGCGGUGGCUUGUGGAAGCGCCGUCGCUCAACGGAUAAAAGGUACCCCGGGGAUAACAGGCUGAUCUUCCCCAAGAGUCCAUAUCGACGGGAUGGUUUGGCACCUCGAUGUCGGCUCGUCGCAUCCUGGGGCUGGAGUCGGUCCCAAGGGUUGGGCUGUUCGCCCAUUAAAGCGGUACGCGAGCUGGGUUUAGAACGUCGUGAGACAGUUCGGUCCCUAUCCGCUGUGCGCGUAGGAAUAUUGAGAAGGGCUGUCCCUAGUACGAGAGGACCGGGACGGACGAACCUCUGGUGUGCCAGUUGUUCUGCCAAGGGCAUGGCUGGUUGGCUACGUUCGGGAGGGAUAACCGCUGAAAGCAUCUAAGCGGGAAGCCUGCUUCGAGAUGAGUAUUCCCACCUCCUUGAGAGGGUAAGGCUCCCAGUAGACGACUGGGUUGAUAGGCCGGAUAUGGAAGCCCAGUAAUGGGUGGAGUUGACCGGUACUAAUAGGCCGAGGGCUUGUCCUC
rnacentral:rRNA from 1 species